CAAGCCUGCCUGAGAGCACUGAUCUGUUGAGGCUGAGCGGGGGAGAAGCUGGGCUUGCCUACAGGACUCCUGAAUUGUGAUUGGACUUACCUGAAUCCACUCGAGAGUUUGAUCUGGUCCAACUCCCUAGAAAACAGAAACAGGAAAGGUUUUUCUCCCCAAGCCUAAUUUUGCCGACUUGGGAUUGCCAGCCUAUUUAAAAAGCCUCCUCCCCCCGCCGGCCCAGCUCCCCUCCCCAAAAAAUUACCUCACUGCUGAGAAGGCGGCAAGGCUAUCUGGGGAGACCCUCCAAAUUUAAGCGAAGUUCUCCCAGAGAAGCCUCCAUGAAAUUGAGACUAUGGAGAAGUUGUGGCUAUUUGUAAGGAUGAAGACCAUUGAUUCCCACUGAAGUGAGUGGAUGAAGUACAUGGAAGGACAAGACUGUUGAAGGAGAGGAAUUAAUGAAACUGAGAGGCCAUAGUAGAGGCUCAGAGCUGCAGGGAGGAGCUACGGCACUGCCUGACGGGGCCACAGGGAGAC